CUCCAAAAAGGAAAGAAAAAAGCAACAAAAAACUCGAAUUUUGGUACAGAAAUGCCCUUUUUCUAUGGGGUGAGGAGCUUGGAAAUUCCCAAAUUUCCCCAAAUUUCUGGCCAAGAGUUCGGGGUUGUUUUGUGCGAUUCCCAAGGGGGUGGAAAUUCCUGGAGGAAGCAAAAUGAAAAGGAAAAAUGAAAAUUUGUUCCAUUGGGAUGGGAAGAAAAAUUUGAGAAGGAAAUAAAAAAAAAUUUGGGAAGGAAAUAAAAAAAAUUUGGGAAGGAAAUAAAAAUUUAGGAAGGAAACGGAAAGAUCAGGAAUGAAACAUUGGGAAGGAAACAUUGGGAAGGAAACAAAAAUGUUGGGAAUUAAACAAAAAUAUUGGGAAGGAAACACCAGGAAUGAAACAAAAAUAAAAGGGAAUUAAACAGUAACAAAGGGAAUGAAACAAAAAUAUUGGGAAGGAAACAAAAAUAUUGGGAAUGAAACAAAGAUGCCAGGAGGGAAACAAGAAUGCAGCGAGGAUUCUUGUUUAAUUUUGCAACCCUGAAGGGAAAAAUUCAACAGAAGCUGAUUUGUGCCAACCGAAAUCCUGCCCUUUCCAUGCCAGGGGUGUGCCAGGCCAAAUCCUGCCAGCCAAGGAGGGUUGGGAAGGUGCCAGGAAUGUGCCAACCCAAAUCGUGCCAGCCCAAAUCCUGCCAUUUUCAUGCCAGGGAUGUGCCAGGCCAAAUCAUGUUCUUUCCACCUCCUGCCAUCCAGGCUGGGCACAGGGAAUGGGACUGGGGAUGUGCCAGGCCAAAUCCUGUUCUUUCCACCUGCUGCCAUCCAGGCUGGGCACAGGGAAUGGGACUGUGGAUGUGCCAACCCAAAUUGUGCCAGGCCAAAUCCUGCCCUUUUUAUGCCAGGGGUGUGCCAGGCCAAAUCCUGUUCUUUCCACCUCCUGCCAUCCAGGCUGGGCACAGGGAAUGGGACUGGGGAUUUGCCAACCCAAAUCCUGCCCUUUCCACCCCCUGCCAUCCAGUUUGGGCACAGGGAAUGGGACUGGGGAUGUGCCAACCCAAAUCCUGCCCUUUCCACCCCCUGCCAUCCAGUUUGGGCACAGGGACCGAGCCUGGCACCGCUGUGACCCCACUGGAACCACACAAAUCCCGAACUCUCGGCCUCACCCUCACCCACCCCGCGCUGGGCCCGCCCG
rnacentral:lncRNA from 1 species